ensembl:lncRNA
CAGCAAGUGUAGGAAAGCAGAAGAAAGCUGUCAAACCUGAUCCCAUAAAGGUCAUUUCUUCUGAACAUGAAGUGGAGACUAAUGCUGGAGUGGAUCCAGGGCUGAGAAGUUCUGCAGCUGAUUCCAAACACUCAAUGCCAGUAGAACUACAGCAAGAACAAACCUCAGUGGAAAACAACAAUUUUUCUCCAAGGAGACCCAGAACACGCUCCUUUGCACCUCAAAACUUUGUGUUUCAGCCUCUGAGUGGAUUGGCAACCUACACUGUGACACCCAUGUCUCCUUCAAGGGCAAAUGCUUUUUUGACACCCAGUGCUGUCUGGAAGUUUUCAAAGUCUCCAGUCAAAAUAUUUGAAAAAUCCAGUGAAACUAAAGCACAAAGGCCUAAUUUAAAAAGUCAAACUUCACCUUCUGUUGAAGGCAUUCAAGAACAGCAAAUGACCACAAGCUCGAAAGGAGGAGGUAGGAAGUUCACAUUUAGUUUAUGCUGAUGCUUUUAAUUAUCACCAGAUUCUGAACAAAUUCCUUUCAUACUUUUCAGCAGGUGAAUCAGAUGAGAGAACUUCCACUCAGGGAUCAAGCAAAACAACUCCUGUCU